AACCAUUCUCACCUGCGGCUAGACCUGCGGAAGGAUCAUUACAGAGUUGCAAAACUCCCUAAACCAUUGUGAACCUACCUUCUACCGUUGCUUCGGCGGGCGGGCCUAGCGCCCCCCCGGCCCCCCGCGGGCGCCCGCCGGAGGAUAACCAAACUCUUGACAUCAGUGGCCUCUCUGAGUAUUCUUUACUGAAUAAGUCAAAACUUUCAGCAAUGGAUCU
rnacentral:misc_RNA from 1 species